rnacentral:rRNA from 1 species
UACAGAGGGUGCAAGCGUUGUUCGGAUUUACUGGGCGUAAAGCGCACGUAGGCGGAUCGUUAAGUCGGGGGUGAAAUCCUGGAGCUCAACUCCAGAACUGCCUUCGAUACUGGCGAUCUUGAGUCCGGAAGAGGUGAGUGGAACUCCUAGUGUAGAGGUGGAAUUCGUAGAUAUUAGGAAGAACACCAGUGGCGAAGGCGGCUCACUGGUCCGGUACUGACGCUGAGGUGCGAAAGCGUGGGGAGCAAACAGG